GACGAACGCUGGCGGCGUGCUUAACACAUGCAAGUCGAACGGUGAAGCGCCUUCCUUUUUGGUGGGUGUGGAUGAGUGGCGAACGGGUGAGUAACACGUGAGUAACCUGCCCCCUUCUUCUGGAUAACCGCAUGAAAGUGUGGCUAAUACGGGAUAUUCUGGGUCUGUCGCAUGAUGGGUCUGGGAAAGAUAUUGUUUCGGUGGGGGAUGGGCUCGCGGCCUAUCAGCUUGUUGGUGGGGUGAUGGCCUACCAAGGCGGUGACGGGUAGCCGGCCUGAGAGGGUGGACGGUCACACUGGGACUGAGACACGGCCCAGCCUCCUACGGGCGGCAGCAGUGGGGAAUAUUGCACAAUGGGCGCAAGCCUGAUGCAGCGACGCCGCGUGAGGGAUGGAGGCCUUCGGGUUGUGAACCUCUUUCGCCAGUGAAGCAGGCCUGCCUCGUUUGUGGGUGGGUUGACGGUAGCUGGAUAAGAAGCGCCGGCUAACUACGUG
rnacentral:rRNA from 1 species